AUGAACGCUGGCGGCGUGCCUAAUACAUGCAAGUCGAGCGAACAGAUGAGGAGCUUGCUCCUCUGACGUUAGCGGCGGACGGGUGAGUAACACGUGGAUAACCUACCUAUAAGACUGGGAUAACUUCGGGAAACCGGAGCUAAUACCGGAUAAUAUAUUGAACCGCAUGGUUCAAUAGUGAAAGACGGUUUUGCUGUCACUUAUAGAUGGAUCCGCGCCGCAUUAGCUAGUUGGUAAGGUAACGGCUUACCAAGGCAACGAUGCGUAGCCGACCUGAGAGGGUGAUCGGCCACACUGGAACUGAGACACGGUCCAGACUCCUACGGGAGGCAGCAGUAGGGAAUCUUCCGCAAUGGGCGAAAGCCUGACGGAGCAACGCCGCGUGAGUGAUGAAGGUCUUCGGAUCGUAAAACUCUGUUAUUAGGGAAGAACAAAUGUGUAAGUAACUAUGCACGUCUUGACGGUACCUAAUCAGAAACCCACGGCUAACUACGUG
rnacentral:rRNA from 1 species